GACGAACGCUGGCGGCGUGCCUAAUACAUGCAAGUCGAACGCAGUGGGGACGGGUGAGUAACACGUGGGUAACCUCCCAUCAGAGGGGAUAACACUUGGAAACAGGUGCUAAACCGAUACUGAUGGAUGGACCCGCGGUGCAUUAGCUAGUUGGUGAGGUAACGGCUCACCAAGGACACGAUGCAUAGCGGACAUGGUAGGAGUGUCGGCCACACUGGGACUUAUCCACUGCCCAGACUCCUACGUGCGGCAGCAGUAGGGAAUCUUCGGCAAUGGACGAAAGUCUGACCGAGCAACGCCGCGUGAGUGAAGAAGGUUUGCGGAUCUUAACACUCUGUUGUUAGAGAAGCGGUAUCUAACCAGAAGGCCACGUCUAACUACAUGCCAGCAGCCGCGGUAGUUC
rnacentral:rRNA from 1 species